CCUACGGGGGGCAGCAGUGGGGAAUAUUGCACAAUGGGCGCAAGCCUGAUGCAGCCAUGCCGCGUGUGUGAAGAAGGCCUUCGGGUUGUAAAGCACUUUCAGCGGGGAGGAAGGCGUUAAGGUUAAUAACCUUGGCGAUUGACGUUACCCGCAGAAGAAGCACCGGCUAACUCCGUGCCAGCAGCCGCGGUAAUACGGAGGGUGCAAGCGUUAAUCGGAAUUACUGGGCGUAAAGCGCACGCAGGCGGUCUGUCAAGUCGGAUGUGAAAUCCCCGGGCUCAACCUGGGAACUGCAUUCGGAACUGGCAGGCUAGAGUCUUGUAGAGGGGGGUAGAAUUCCAGGUGUAGCGGUGAAAUGCGUAGAGAUCUGGAGGAAUACCGGUGGCGAAGGCGGCCCCCUGGACAAAGACUGACGCUCAGGUGCGAAAGCGUGGGGAGCAAACAGGAUUAGAUACCCCAGUAGUC
rnacentral:rRNA from 1 species